GAGAGAGAAGCAUAAGUGNUUUUAUAUGCGGCUGGCUUGAAACCAGUNUAUGGGGGUUCGAUUCCCU
rnacentral:tRNA from 1 species